UGGGGAAUAUUGGACAAUGGGGGAAACCCUGAUCCAGCGAUGCCGCGUGAAUGAUGAAGGCCUUCGGGUUGUAAAAUUCUUUCGCCUGUGAAGAUAAUGACGGUAACAGGAUAAGAAGCUCCGGCUAACUCCGUGCCAGCAGCCGCGGUAAGACGGAGGGAGCUAGCGUUGUUCGGAAUGACUGGGCGUAAAGGGUGCGUAGGCGGCUCUUUAAGUAAGGCGUGAAAUCCCCGGGCUUAACCUGGGAACUGCGUUUUAAACUAGAGGGCUAGAGGAUGGAAGAGGAAAGCGGAAUUCCUAGUGUAGGGGUGAAAUCCGUAGAUAUUAGGAAGAACACCAGAGGCGAAGGCGGCUUUCUGGUCCAUCACUGACGCUGAGGCACGAUAGCGUGGGGAGCGAAAAGG
rnacentral:rRNA from 1 species